rnacentral:rRNA from 1 species
CAGCAGCCACGGUAAUACGGAGGGUGCAAGCGUUAAUCGGAUUUACUGGGCGUAAAGCGCACGUAGGCGGAUCGAUCAGUCAGGGGUGAAAUCCCAGAGCUCAACUCUGGAACUGCCUUUGAUACUGUCGAUCUGGAGUAUGGAAGAGGUGAGUGGAAUUCCGAGUGUAGAGGUGAAAUUCGUAGAUAUUCGGAGGAACACCAGUGGCGAAGGCGGCUCACUGGCUCAUACUGGACGCUGAGGUGCGAAAGCGUGGGGAGCAAACAGGAUUAGAUACCCCCGUAGUCCCUGUCUCUUAUAC